UGUCAUCCCCCUGCCCUGCCCUGGGAUGAAUUUAGACCCCAGAAUUGGAAUGAAGGACAGGGAAAUGGAACUGUAUUCAGAUAAUGAAACUGAGACAGCUAACUUGUGAUUCCAAAUUGAAGAGAAAAACAUAUCGCUUUACUGUUUAAGAUGAUCCAAUGAGAAUGUCUGAUUUACAACUUGGAGCAAAUAAACCAACAUAGAUGGAAGAGGAAGUUCUACUGCACAAGCUGAGCCAAGUGUCCAGGAAACUUUCUUUGAGGCACAUCCCCACCCCAAUCACCCACUUCACUAACAAGACCAGCCUCAAUGAUGUGCCCAAGAUGCACAAGUUUACAAAGGGCAAGCAAUGAGUGGGCAGUGUAUACAAAUAACAACCCCACUUAUUAGCUCAUAGUCACU